UACUAAGACAAGAAAAUUCAAAAAAAAAAAAAAAAGAGGUCAGUUGUUGUUCUCGAAUUUCGCCCCCAGCCAUCAGCAUUAGGGUUUUAAACCCUGAACUGAAUUUUUCCUUUAGUCAGCAUUAGGGUUUUAAAGCCCUAAACUGAACUUUUUUCAUUCAGCCAGCAUUAGGGUUCUAAACCCUAAACUAAGCUUUCCACGCAAUCAGCAUUAGGGUUUUAAACCCUAAACUGAAUUUUCUUUUAGUCAGCAUUAGGGUUUUAAACCCUAAACUGAACUUUUUCAUUCAGCCAGCAUUAGGGUUUUAAACCCUAAACUGAGCUCUCCAUGCAAUCAGCAUUAGGGUUUUAAACCCUAAACUGAAUUUUUCCUUAAUCAGCAUUAGGGUUUUAAACCCUAAACUGAAUUUUUCCUUUAGUCAGCAUUAGGGUUUUAAACCCCUAAACUGAACUUUUUCCAUGCAGCCAGCAUUAGGGUUUUAAACCCCUAAACUGAGCUUUUCCAUGCAAUCAGCAUUAGGGUUUUAAACCCUAAACUGAAUUUUUUCCAUUCAGCCAGCAUUAGGGUUUUAAACCCUAAACUGAGCUUCUCCUUUCAGCCAGCAUUAGGAUUUUAAAUCCUAAACUGAGCUUUUCCUUUCAGCUAGCAUUAGGGUUUUAAACCCUAAACUGAGCUUUUCCAUGCAAUCAGCAAUAGGGUUUUAAACCCUAAACUGAAUUUUUCCUUUAGUCAGCAUUAGGGUUUUAAAUCCUAAACUGAACUUUUUUCCCAUUCAGCCAGCAUUAGGGUUUUAAACCCUAAACUGAGCUUUUCCAUACAAUCAACGUUAGGGUUUUAAACCCUAAACUGAACCUUUUUCCUUUCAGCCAGCAUUAGGGUUUUAAACCCUGAACUGAGCUUUUCCAUUUAAUCAGCAUUAGGGUUUUAAACCCUAAACUGAACCUUUUUCCUUUCAGCCAGCAUUAGGGAUUUAAACCCUGAACUGAGCUUUUCCAUUUAAUCAGCAUUAGGGUUUUAAACCCUAAACUGAACUCUUUUCCUAUCAGCCAGCAUUAGGGUUUUAAACCCUAAACUAAGCUUUUCCAUGCAAUCAGCGUUAGGGUUUUAAACCCUAAACUGAACCUUUUUCCUUUCAGCCAGCAUUAGGGUUUUAAACCCUGAACUGAGCUUUUCCAUUUAAUCAGCAUUAGGGUUUUAAACCCUAAACUGAACCUUUUUCCUUUCAGCCAGCAUUAGGGCUUUAAACCCUAAACUGAGCUUUUCCAUUUAAUCAGCAUUAGGGUUUUAAACCCUAAACUGAACUCUUUUCCUGUCAGCCAGCAUUAGGGUUUUAAACCCUAAACUGAGCUUUUCCAUGCAAUCAGCGUUAGGGUUUUAAACCCUAAACUGAUUUUUUCCUUUAG
rnacentral:lncRNA from 1 species